CGUAGGUAACCUGCCUGGUAGCGGGGGAUAACUAUUGGAAACGAUAGCUAAUACCGCAUAAGAGUAGAUGUUGCAUGACAUUUACUUAAAAGAUGCAAUUGCAUCACUACCAGAUGGACCUGCGUUGUAUUAGCUAGUUGGUGGGGUAACGGCUCACCAAGGCGACGAUACAUAGCCGACCUGAGAGGGUGAUCGGCCACACUGGGACUGAGACACGGCCCAG
rnacentral:rRNA from 1 species